rnacentral:lncRNA from 1 species
GGGGCUCUCCGUUGUGGGGCUGGGGGUCUCAGCUGUGGGGCAGUGGCUGUCACUUGUGGGUCUGGGGCUCUCACUUGUGGGGCUGGGCUCUCACUUGUAGGGCUGGGACCCUCACUUGUGGGUCCGGGCCCUCACUUGUGGGUCUGGGCUGUCACUUGUGGGUCCGGGCCCUCACUUGUGGGUCCGUGCCCUCACUUGUGGGUCUGGGCUCUCACUUGUGGGUCCGGGCCCUCACUUGUGGGUCUGGGUUCUCACUUGUGGGUCUGGGCUGUCACUUGUGUGGCUGGGGCUCUCACUUGUGGGGCUGGGGCUCUCAGCCGUGGGGCUCGGGCUGUCACUUGUGGGUCUGGGCUCUCACUUGUGGGGCUGGGCCCUCACUUGUGGGUCCGGGCCGUCACUUGUGGGUCCGGGUGUGUCACUUGUGGGUCCGGACCCCCACUUGUGGGUCUGGGCUCUCACUUGUGGGUCCGUGUCUGUCACUUGUGGGUCUGGGGCUCUCACUUCUGGGUCCAGGCUCUCACUUGUGGGGCUGGGGCUCUCACUUAUGGGGCUGGGGCUCUCAGCCGUGGGGCUCGGGCUGUCACUUGUGGGUCUGGGCUCUCACUUAUGGGGCUGGGGCUCUCACUUGUGGGUCCGGGCUCCCACUUAUGGGUCCGGCCCCCCACUUGUGGGUCUGGGCCCCCCCCAACUCACCUUGAGCUCAGCCAGCUGCAGCCUCAUUUUCUCCAGGUCCCCCCCGAGGCGAAAUCCCUGCCCCACACGUCGCUCCGCCGCCUCCACCCAC